AUGCCGCGUGCAGGAUGACGGCCUUAUGGGUUGUAAACUGCUUUUAUACGGAAAGAAACCCCUCUACGUGUAGGGUAUUGACGGUACCGUACGAAUAAGGAUCGGCUAACUCCGUGCCAGCAGCCGCGGUAAUACGGAGGAUGCGAGCGUUAUCCGGAUUCAUUGGGUUUAAAGGGUGCGUAGGCGGAGCGGUAAGUCAGAGGUGAAAUCCUACAGCUCAACUGUAGAACUGCCUUUGAUACUGGUUGUCUUGAAUUUAGUUGAGGUAGGCGGAAUGUGUAAUGUAGCGGUGAAAUGCAUAGAUAUUACACAGAACACCGAUUGCGAAGGCAGCUUACUAACUUGUAACUGACGCUGAGGCACGAAAGCGUGGGGAGCGAACAGGAUUAGAUACCC
rnacentral:rRNA from 1 species